rnacentral:rRNA from 1 species
AUUGAACGCUGGCGGCAGGCUUAACACAUGCAAGUCGAGCGGGGACUUCGGUCCUAGCGGCGAACGGGUGAGGAAUGCUUGGGAAUCUGCCCAGUAGCGGGGGAUAACGUUUCGAAAGGAACGCUAAUACCGCAUACGCCCUACGGGGGAAAGGGGGGGAUCUUCGGACCUCUCACUAUUGGAUGAGCCCAAGUCGGAUUAGCUAGUUGGUGGGGUAAAGGCCUACCAAGGCGACGAUCCGUAGCUGGUCUGAGAGGAUGAUCAGCCACACUGGAACUGAGACACGGUCCAGACUCCUACGGGAGGCAGCAGUGGGGAAUAUUGGACAAUGGGCGAAGGCCUGAUCCAGCCAUGCCGCGUGUGUGAAGAAGGCCUUCGGGUUGUAAAGCACUUUAAGCGAGGAGGAAUGGCUCUUGGUUAAUAACCUUGAGCAGUGACGUUACUCGCAGAAUAAGCACCGGCUAACUCUGUGCCAGCAGCCGCCGUAAUAC